rnacentral:lncRNA from 1 species
CUCUUCGGAUGAUGAUUUAGAGUGGGUUUUAGAAUGACUCUUGGAGAGGCUAUCGACAUCUGUAUUGAAAAUCAAGCUCUAGGAACAUUGCAGUCUUUCACCCUAUCAGGUUCCUUUAGAAACCAGGCAAAAGGAAUCAUUUGCUGGUCUCAAGCAGUGCUUCUCACAAGACAGAAGAGUGUCAGCUAUCAGGUACUACCCAAGAGAGAAGUUUCUCCUCGACUUCUUCCCAGUUGUGAACCUUUGUCACCAGCGGAUGCAGUUCAUCGGCUCCAGUUUUGCACCAAGGAUACGAGCUUUCGUAAUCG